AAAGUUAUCAGCUGCUCUUUGAUUCCUCUUUUAGAUAUUUUUAGUUAUUUAUGUGAACAUUUAAAAGAGUAAUUUAUUUAAAUUGACAAAACCUGAAAUUAUCCCGAUCCACAUUCUCCUCACAUUUAUUUAGCUCCAUGUGUCAUUGGACAUGAGCCUUGUGUCAGUUGGCCUCCGCGUCAAAUGGAGUAGAAGCAGGUUCCGGGCAGGGGUCCCGCAUGCAAGGUCCUGCGUGCAGGGGGACAGCUGUGUGAGGGCACUUGUUAUGCACCUGCCUGCUGUGAGAUCCUCUCUUGUCUUAGUGCUCCUGUUGUAUUAGUGAUUCUUGUUACAUAAUUGCCGAAUACACAUUCAACGUAGUUUGUAUUUGUGGUGCUUUUAUCCAUUGUUAAUGACAUUUAGGAAUAUCUGAAGCAGGACUCACCAAGCCAGCAACUCCAGCCUCCCACGGGGAAAGCUGCGUGGCUCCCCGAGAAGUCUGAGGGCCCCUCAGAAACUGAUGUCUGUGUUCAGUUUCUGAAUGUAGGUGUUGAAUUUCACAGUAAUAUUCAUAAUGGUUGUAUGGUCUAUAAUUAUAUGUUAAAAUUAAAUUAUAAAUAAUGAAAUUUCUUCUGCACUGAGUGAUACUGCACUCACUCACUCUUACUGAACAUUUAUUGAUUUUCUUGUGUAGUAGAACAUUGUUAACCGUGUCAUUUUCAUUUGUGUUUUUAUUCCCUAACCCACUGUGUUCAAAUCUAAUAUAUAACUCAACAUACCAAAGUAAUGCUUUUCCUUAAAAGGAUUCUUCAGGCUACCAUGGUGGGAACAAGGAAGCAAAACUGACUAUGUUUGAAAGAGUUCAGGAAGCAGAGGGAAAAUGCAGAGGGGCACAGGCCCUUGGGCAGUGGAUUACAGUCACAUUCUCAGAAAAAGAGAGAGAGCUUUGGAAGAUAAGAUGGGGGAAGUACAGAGACAGCAGGAGAAGGAACUAUUCCAACCUAGUCAAGACAAUUAUAUCCUUCGAGCCAAGUGAAGUAGCAUUGAAGAAUCAAACAAGAAACAAAGGUGGUUGCCUUUUGAGGAAACAUCAGCUCCUGCCACAGAG